CAAGGAUUUUAGAAUAACUGCACCUAGCAACAUUUUAUGCUCCAUAUAAUUAUCAUAUUCUGUAAAGCAGAUUUCACAAGUCUAUUAAGGCACAUCAACAUGCACAGAACAAGAUUAAACUUCGUAUGCUUUGAUAUCUUCACGAACCCUGAUGAAUCCUUUGUAUCUCGGUGUCUCAUGAGAUCCCCAAUAGCUUCUUUAUGUCAUGCUCGAGACUUAGAGGAGAAGUUGUGGGGUAGUAACGAUCAACAACUUGCCCGUCCUUAUUGACAAGGAAUUUGGCAAAGUUCCAUUGAAUAUCAUCACCAAAAAUUCCCCAUUUGCCAGACUUUAAGAACUUGUACAACAGAGAAGCAUUCUCACCAUUCACUUCCACCUUGCCAAAUAUGGGAAAUUCUGAUUUAAAGCGAGUGCAGACAAACUCUUGAAUCUCAUCAUUACUUCCUGGUUCCUCCUCACCAAAUUGAUUGCAUGGAAAUGCCAAUAUUUCAAGGCCUUGAUCUUUGUACUUCUCAUAUAACUGAUUCAGUUCUGUGUAAUUUGAGUUGGUCAUUCCACAUUUUGAAGCAACAUUAACAAUUAAUAAGACUUUUCCCUUGAAAAUGCUAAGAUCUACAUCAUUUCCAUUAGCAUCCUUGAUAAUGAAAUCAUAGACUGAUUCAGGAUACUUGGGGGGCUGGCUUGCCAUUAAACAAGCAAAAGAUAUAGAGAGGCCAGAGACAAGCGGGUAAUUGGCACCACAGCAAAAUAAAAGAACAGUUGAAGGAAGGGAAAGUUGAAAGAGAACAGAAUAAACAAAUAUGCUGCAAUUGCUUAAAUCGACUUUUGGAAUUGUAAUAUUCCCACACGUGUUUAGUCACAGUGGAUACACUUCUUGUUGGUGAAAGCCCUCCUGCCGUUGGAUUGAUAAUGGAGUCAACUUCUGGCUCCCUUCUCCAAAUAUUUUCAUUAUUAAUUAGGGUUAGGCUCUGGCUCAGUUUUCUCACUAGCGGGUUCAGGAUUGUUUCUAGAUAGA
rnacentral:misc_RNA from 1 species